AGAGUUUGAUCAUGGCUCAGAUUGAACGCUGGCGGCAGGCCUAACACAUGCAAGUCGAGCGGUAGCACAGAGAGCUUGCUCUCGGGUGACGAGCGGCGGACGGGUGAGUAAUGUCUGGGAAACUGCCUGAUGGAGGGGGAUAACUACUGGAAACGGUAGCUAAUACCGCAUAAUGUCGCAAGACCAAAGUGGGGGACCUUCGGGCCUCAUGCCAUCAGAUGUGCCCAGAUGGGAUUAGCUAGUAGGUGGGGUAACGGCUCACCUAGGCGACGAUCCCUAGCUGGUCUGAGAGGAUGACCAGCCACACUGGAACUGAGACACGGUCCAGACUCCUACGGGAGGCAGCAGUGGGGAAUAUUGCACAAUGGGCGCAAGCCUGAUGCAGCCAUGCCGCGUGUGUGAAGAAGGCCUUCGGGUUGUAAAGCACUUUCAGCGGGGAGGAAGGCGGUGAGAUUAAUAACCUCAUCGAUUGACGUUACCCGCAGAAGAAGCACCGGCUAACUCCGUGCCAGCAGCCGCGGUAAUACGGAGGGUGCAAGCGUUAAUCGGAAUUACUGGGCGUAAAGCGCACGCAGGCGGUCUGUCAAGUCGGAUGUGAAAUCCCCGGGCUCAACCUGGGAACUGCAUUCGAAACUGGCAGGCUAGAGUCUUGUAGAGGGGGGUAGAAUUCCAGGUGUAGCGGUGAAAUGCGUAGAGAUCUGGAGGAAUACCGGUGGCGAAGGCGGCCCCCUGGACAAAGACUGACGCUCAGGUGCGAAAGCGUGGGGAGCAAACAGGAUUAGAUACCCUGGUAGUCCACGCCGUAAACGAUGUCGAUUUGGAGGUUGUGCCCUUGAGGCGUGGCUUCCGGAGCUAACGCGUUAAAUCGACCGCCUGGGGAGUACGGCCGCAAGGUUAAAACUCAAAUGAAUUGACGGGGGCCCGCACAAGCGGUGGAGCAUGUGGUUUAAUUCGAUGCAACGCGAAGAACCUUACCUGGUCUUGACAUCCACAGAACUUUCCAGAGAUGGAUUGGUGCCUUCGGGAACUGUGAGACAGGUGCUGCAUGGCUGUCGUCAGCUCGUGUUGUGAAAUGUUGGGUUAAGUCCCGCAACGAGCGCAACCCUUAUCCUUUGUUGCCAGCGGUUAGGCCGGGAACUCAAAGGAGACUGCCAGUGAUAAACUGGAGGAAGGUGGGGAUGACGUCAAGUCAUCAUGGCCCUUACGACCAGGGCUACACACGUGCUACAAUGGCAUAUACAAAGAGAAGCGACCUCGCGAGAGCAAGCGGACCUCAUAAAGUAUGUCGUAGUCCGGAUUGGAGUCUGCAACUCGACUCCAUGAAGUCGGAAUCGCUAGUAAUCGUAGAUCAGAAUGCUACGGUGAAUACGUUCCCGGGCCUUGUACACACCGCCCGUCACACCAUGGGAGUGGGUUGCAAAAGAAGUAGGUAGCUUAACCUUCGGGAGGGCGCUUACCACUUUGUGAUUCAUGACUGGGGUGAAGUCGUAACAAGGUAACCGUAGGGGAACCUGCGGUUGGAUCACCU
rnacentral:rRNA from 1 species